rnacentral:rRNA from 1 species
CCUACGGGAGGCAGCAGUGGGGAAUAUUGCACAAUGGGCGCAAGCCUGAUGCAGCGACGCCGCGUGAGGGAUGACGGCCUUCGGGUUGUAAACCUCUUUCAGUAGGGAAGAAGCGUAAGUGACGGUACCUGCAGAAGAAGCGCCGGCUAACUACGUGCCAGCAGCCGCGGUAAUACGUAGGGCGCAAGCGUUAUCCGGAAUUAUUGGGCGUAAAGAGCUCGUAGGCGGUUUGUCGCGUCUGCCGUGAAAGUCCGGGGCUCAACUCCGGAUCUGCGGUGGGUACGGGCAGACUAGAGUGAUGUAGGGGAGACUGGAAUUCCUGGUGUAGCGGUGAAAUGCGCAGAUAUCAGGAGGGACACCGAUGGCGAAGGCAGGUCUCUGGGCAUUAACUGACGCUGAGGAGCGAAAGCAUGGGGAGCGAACAGGAUUAGAUACCCUGGUAGUCCAUGCCGUAAACGUUGGGCACUAGGUGUGGGGGACAUUCCACGUUUUCCGCGCCGUAGCUAACGCAUUAAGUGCCCCGCCUGGGGAGUACGGCCGCAAGGCUAAACUUAAGAUAGUAGCGNGNGAGNGCGACGACGACGACGAGGAGGAG